rnacentral:lncRNA from 1 species
UUUAGCAAUUUAAAUAAUUAAAUGGUUCAAUUAGAUGAUCAGUACUAUUGUUCGAGUAUUUGUGAACAGGUUUGCGUUGAGGUUUCAUUAUUAUGUAUGCAAUUAGAAAUUUGUAGAUCUUGGUAUUGGAUUUAUGCAUCAUGGUUUUCUACUUCUCGAAGUAGUCGGUUUUCAAAUAGAGUUUCCGAGUAGGAAACAAUUUUAAAAAGAUUUUUGAAUAGUUUUACGGAUGAUUAAAUAGAGUUUAAAAAUAAAGCUUCUGGAUGGGGAUCACUUUUAAAUAGGAUGACUGUUGUAUUAUG